AUUGAACGCUGGCGGCAUGCCUUACACAUGCAAGUCGAACGGUAACGGGCCUUCGGGUGCCGACGAGUGGCGAACGGGUGAGUAACAUAUCGGGACGUACCUUUCAGUGGGGGAUAACGUAGCGAAAGUUACGCUAAUACCGCAUAUUCUGUGCGCAGGAAAGCAGGGGACCUUCGGGCCUUGCGCUGAUUGAGCGGCCGAUAUCAGAUUAGCUAGUUGGUGAGGUAAAGGCUCACCAAGGCGACGAUCUGUAGCGGGUCUGAGAGGAGGAUCCGCCACACUGGAACUGAGACACGGGCCAGACUCCUACGGGAGGCAGCAGUGGGGAAUUUUGGACAAUGGGGGCAACCCUGAUCCAGCCAUGCCGCGUGAGUGAAGAAGGCCUUCGGGUUGUAAAGCUCUUUCGGCCGGGAAGAAAUCGUAUGGGCUAAUACCCUGUGCGGAUGACGGUACCGGCAUAAGAAGCACCGGCUAACUACGUGCCAGCCGCCGCAGUAAAAC
rnacentral:rRNA from 1 species